GUCUAUGGCCAUGCCUCCCUGAACAAGCCCGAUCCCAUCUGAUCUCAGAAGCUAAGCAGGGUUGGGCCUGGUUAGUACUUGGAUGGGAGAUCACCUAGGAAGACCAGGUGCUGUAGCUG
rnacentral:rRNA from 1 species